CUUAAUUAACCUUUGAAGAUAAAUUGCUCUUUUGGGUUUGCCUUGAUUGUCUUGAAGAACAACCCUCUUUCCAUGAAAAUCACUGCCAAGCGAUGUCGUUUUCAAUCUCAAAGUCUGACGAUUCACUUUUCGGGAGAACCCUUUAACGAGUAAAAGAUGAAGAGAAAGAAGAAGAAACCAUAUUGGUAUUGCUCAAAACAUAAGCCAUAAUUACCCACAACAAAAAGAAGCAGCAGAAGGAACCAAAAAAAAGUUCCGAAUAUGAGAAAAUGAUAAGAGUUAGGGUUCAAAAGAUGGAGGUUUUGAUUUGCUUUUGCUUUUUCCCUUUGAG
rnacentral:lncRNA from 1 species